GACGAACGCUGGCGGCGUGCUUAACACAUGCAAGUCGAGCGAUGAAGUUCCUUCGGGAAUGGAUUAGCGGCGGACGGGUGAGUAACACGUGGGUAACCUGCCUCAUAGAGGGGAAUAGCCUUUCGAAAGGAAGAUUAAUACCGCAUAAGAUUGUAGUAUCGCAUGAUACAGCAAUUAAAGGAGUAAUCCGCUGUGUGAUGGACCCGCGUCGCAUUAGCUAGUUGGUGAGGUAACGGCUCACCAAGGCGACGAUGCGUAGCCGACCUGAGAGGGUGAUCGGCCACAUUGGGACUGAGACACGGCCCAGACUCCUUCGGGAGGCAGCAGUGGGGAAUAUUGCACAAUGGGGGAAACCCUGAUGCAGCAACGCCGCGUGAGUGAUGACGGUCUUCGGAUUGUAAAACUCUGUCUUCAGGGACGAUAAUGACGGUACCUGAGGAGGAAGCCACGGCUAACUACGUGCCAGCCGCCGCCGUAA
rnacentral:rRNA from 1 species